rnacentral:misc_RNA from 1 species
CAGAGUUCUUUGCAACUCCCAACCCCUGUGAACCAUACCAAUUUUUUUGUUGUUGCUAUCUGGCAGCGCCUCCGGGUGUCUGCCAGCGGCGACCGGCUCCAACCUUCUGUAUCACUGCACCGUCUGAGCUUCUGAAAAAAUAAGUCA